GGUGUGGCCCAAUGGUAGAGCACUUGCCUAGAAUGAUAAGGUCCUGAGUUCAAUUCUCAGCACCA
rnacentral:tRNA from 1 species